UGGAUAGCCAUGGCUAUCAGGGCGAUGUAGCUGACACACACACACGGCAGGAUGAAUAAAGACAUCAUCUACUACAAGGCAUGUGCGAAAGUUGGCAGUGACUGGGUCCCCUGAUUAUACGGCAUCACCCGUGUGCAGAGAGACAUUGCCACGAGUCGUGAUACAAUGAAGUUCUUUGAGACCAGGACAGAGACCUCCAGGUGUCACCACUUUGUCCAUGACAUUGUCCACGAUCGCAGAGACAUGGUCCAUGAUCGGAGAGACAUUGUUGAGGAUGAGGGAGACAUCGUCCACGGUCAGAGACAUUGUCCGUGAUCGCAGAGACCUUGUCAAAGAUGAGAGAGACGUUGUCCUUGAUCAGAGACAUUGUCCCAUGCUUCGUAGAGACCUUGCGAUAGAAUCGGCGGAGACGGGGGUCACCGAUUUGACGGCACUGCCCGCGAUCAUGGAGACAUUGUUGAUGUUCACAGAGACACCGUCUAUGAUCUCAGAGACAUCGUCCACAAUCACAAAGACAUUGUCCAUGAUCACAGAGACUUUGUCCAUAAUCUCAGAGACAUUGUCCAUGAUCACAGAGAACUCAGUCCACGAUCACAGAGAGCUAUCGUACAAUGAAGAAGUUCUUUGAGACCAGGAAAGAGGCCUCCACAUAAUUCACAAACAGUGUCACCACUUUGUCCAUGACAUCGUCCACGAUCGCAGAGACAUGGUCCAUGAUCGGAGAGACAUUGUUGAGGAUGAGGGAGACAUCGUCCACGAUCAGAGACAUUGUCCGUGAUUGCAGAGACCUUGUCAAAGAUGAGAGAGACGUUGUCCAUGAUCAGAGACAUUUUCCCAUGCUUCGUAGAGACCUUGCGAUAGAAUCGGCGGAGACGGGGGUCACCGAUUUGACGGCACUGCCCGCGAUCAUGGAGACAUUGUUGAUGUUCACAGAGACACCGUCUAUGAUCUCAGAGACAUCGUCCACAAUCACAAAGACAUUGUCCAUGAUCACAGAGACUUUGUCCAUAAUCUCAGAGACAUUGUCCGCGAUCACAGAGACGCAGUCCACGAUCACAGAGAGCUAUCGUACAAUGAAGAAGUUCUUUGAGACCAGGACAGAGGCCUCCACGUAAUUCACAAACAGUGUCACCACUUUGUCCACGACAUCGUCCACGAUCGCAGAGACAUGGUCCAUGAUCGGAGAGACAUUGUUGAGGAUGAGGGAGAUAUCGUCCACGAUCAAAGA